rnacentral:rRNA from 1 species
UACGUAGGGGGCGAGCGUUGUCCGAAGUUACUGGGCGUAAAGGGCGCGUAGGCGGCCUUCUAAGUCGAACGUGAAAUCCCCGGGCUCAACCCGGGAACUGCGUCCGAUACUGGAAGGCUUGAAUCCGGGAGAGGGAUGCGGAAUUCCAGGUGUAGCGGUGAAAUGCGCAGAUAUCGGGAAGAACACCCGUGGCGAAGGCGGUUCUCUGGGACGGUACUGACGCUGAGACGCGAAAGCGUGGGGAGCGAACAGG